rnacentral:rRNA from 1 species
ACGAACGCUGGCGGCAGGCCUAACACAUGCAAGUCGAGCGCCGUAGCAAUACGGAGCGGCAGACGGGUGAGUAACGCGUGGGAACCUUCCCAGUGGUACGGAAUAGCUCAGGGAAACUUGAGGUAAUACCGCAUACGCCCUUCGGGGGAAAGAUUUAUCGCCAUUGGAUGGGCCCGCGUCGGAUUAGCUAGUUGGUGAGGUAACGGCCCACCAAGGCGACGAUCUGUAGCUGGUCUGAGAGGAUGAUCAGCCACACUGGGACUGAGACACGGCCCAGACUCCUACGGGAGGCAGCAGUGGGGAAUAUUGGACAAUGGGCGCAAGCCUGAUCCAGCCAUGCCGCGUGAGUGACGAAGGUCUUCGGAUUGUAAAGCUCUUUUGGCGGGGACGAUAAUGACGGUACCCGCAGAAUAAGCCCCGGCUAACUUCGU